GACGAACGCUGGCGGCGUGCCUAAUACAUGCAAGUCGAGCGGACAGAAGGGAGCUUGCUCCCGGAAGUUAGCGGCGGACGGGUGAGUAACACGUAGGUAACCUGCCCCUUAGACUGGGAUAACUCCGGGAAAACGGAGCUAAUACGGGAUACUAAAGAGAAUGGCCAGAUUUUCUUUUGAAAGACGGUUUCGGCUGUCACUAAGGGAUCGACCUGCGGCGGAUUAGCCAGUUGGUAAGGUAACGGCUUACCAAGGCGACGAUGCGUAGCCGACCUUGGAGGGGAGUCGGCCACACUGGGACUGAGACACGGCCCAGACUCCUACGGGAGGCAGCAGUAGGGAAUCUUCCGCAAUGGACGAAAGUCUGACGGAGCAACGCCGCGUGAGUGAGGAAGGCCUUCGGGUCGUAAAGCUCUGUUGUGAGGGAAGAACAAGUGCCGGGGUAACUACCGGCACCUUGACGGUACCUCACCAGAAAGCCACGGCUAACUACGUGCCAGCCGCCGCGGUAAUAC
rnacentral:rRNA from 1 species